rnacentral:rRNA from 1 species
AGGACGAACGCUGGCGGCGCGCUUAACACAUGCAAGUCGAGCGAGAACCAGGCCUUCGGGCCUGGGGAAAGCGGCGAACGGGUGAGUAACACGUGGGUAACCCACCCUUGGUACCGGGAUAGCCCGAGGAAACUCGGAUUAAUACCGGAUGGCCCAACAGCUUUUCGGGGCGGUUGGGAAAGGUAGCUUCGGCCUCCGACCAAGGACGGGCCCGCGGCGGAUUAGCUUGUUGGUGAGGUAACGGCUCACCAAGGCUUCGAUCCGUAGCUGGUCUGAGAGGACGAUCAGCCACACUGGGACUGAGACACGGCCCAGACUCCUACGGGAGGCAGCAGUGGGGAAUCUUGCGCAAUGGGCGAAAGCCUGACGCAGCGACGCCGCGUGGGGGAAGAAGGCUUUCGGGUUGUAAACCCCUUUCAGGAAGGACGAAGCCACUCGGGUUAAUAGCCCAGAGGGUGACGGUACUUCCAGAAGAAGCCCCGGCUAACUACGUGCCCGACACGACCGCC